rnacentral:lncRNA from 1 species
CAAUAAAUAGAAACUUUAUAGUAAUAAUAAUAAUUUAGAAUUAACAAAUAUUAAACAGUGUCUUUGAGCAGAGUUUUGGAAAUGGCAGUGAGCUGUCCAGUUUUAUCAUAUUCCAUAGCAGUCUUACCAUCUUCAUCCAGAUAAGUAAAAUUAGCACCAUUCUUCAUCAAGAAGAUAGCAGUGUCUAUAUGUUUUUCAUGGACAGUCACAUGCAAUGGUGUUUGUCUUUUUCCAUUUAUACUAUUAAUGUUAGCUCCACCUUGAAUGAGUAAGGAGACCAGUCUAUUGUUUCCUGAGGAUGCAGCGUAAUGUAGAGGACUUCCACCGUGUAAAUCACGGAGAUUGAUAUUGGCACCGUAUUGA